rnacentral:lncRNA from 1 species
UAGACACACACAAAAAUAAUACAAGCUUCUUAUUACAAGCCAAGGGCCUCGAGGGCUAGAAUACAGAAGCUCGAUAAACACACGAGUCAGCGGAAGCAACAAAAUCUGAGUACAGACAUAAAACAUGGGUGCCUUAGAGAAGGCUAGCACAAAAGAAACACGAUCGAACGAGGCGAGGCCUCCUGCCUGGGAACCUCCUAACUACUUCUAUCUUCAGCGGCCUCCACAAAGAAGACACCAACAGGGCGACAGGCGUCGGCAGGAAACUCCAUCUCCUGGGCUCCAUCAUCUGGUCGCAGCAACGGAUCAAGGGAACAAAAGAGGAGCAAAGCAACGGUGAGUACUCAUCCAAAGUACUCGCAAGUAUGCAUCAGUAUCAAAGAAGGGGGUGUUAUAUGUGGACUGACUGCAGCUAAGCAAGAAUAGAGAGAAGGCCUAGUCCUAUCGAAGACUAGCAUCUUCAGGGUCUUGCAGUAAAAGACGAGAGUAGAACAGGUGUAACACAAAAUAAUAGUCAUAUUGUUGCAGCAAUAUUAAAGUGAGGUCAUGCCCAGAGAUCCUCCCUCGACUCCCUGCAAGGAAGCAAUCCCGAGGCAACUAAAUCCAGUUAAGUAACAAUUGUAGUUGUAUAAGAUCUGGGCACAACUCCAAGUCGUCCUGUAACCGUGGACACGGCUAUCCGAAUAGUUAAUUUUCAUCCCUGCAGGGGUGCACCACAUGUCCCGACGCGCUCGAUAACACUCUGGCCGGACACACUUUUCUGGGUCCUGCACGGCCUUGGAAUAUCGACACGUCGCAGCCCCACAUAAGACUAAUCAGAGAGGUUAGCCCGCCGGUCUAAAUCCUAAGCGCAAAGGGUUCAUGGGCCCAGUUCCCCUCCGCGCUCCUGCACGAUGCGAAGGCGGCCGAUGUCAGUCCUAGCAUCCCUUAAUCACAAGCGCAAUGCAUCUCGGGACCACUCGGGCGCGCGCCACUACGAUUGCUGACAUCUGAAAGCUUCGGCUGAUACCGCGACGCCAAGUACCCAUAAUUCUUCCUACGCAGACGGUUAGUGCGGAAAGGUCUCCCACCAACCCAGGUCAAAUACCCAAAACCAUUAACAUUUUAAUUAGGCCAUCAACACAGUCUCGCGGGAAUCCACCCGUCUUACAUCUAAUCACCAAUGAUCCCAGUAACAUGGUCGAGUAACUGUGUGGUUAUAACAUCGGGGGAAUCCGAGGUAUCACCCUCGUUAGAUUCCGAACGAUGUAGCCGUCAAGGUGGGCUUAGAGGAAUCACCCUCUAGGGUCCCACACAUGAGGGGUUGCACGACCGAGGCAUCGUCGGGAAUGGUGAAAGAGGAAUCACCCUCGAUAACCACGACCGACUAACUAUACUACAGUGAUAUCAUCAGGAGUACUUAGCGAGGUGUCACCCUCGGUACUCGAUAGUAUCUCUGUAGCGUCGUACAACUAAGGGGGGUGUAUGUGUUGUGUCGGGUCUGGCUCGUCGAUCAGGGAUCGAGAUUUGAAAGCAAGCGGGGCAACUGGACUACGGGGUCAGAGGGGAUGACUGCUCCACCUAUACUAAGCAGAUUAAAGGUACAUGACUGAAAGUAGCAGUUUAUCAAAAACAAGUCAUGCAUCAGAUAUAGGAGCUAACUACAACAGUAGCAAAAUACUAAUGCAAGCAGUAGAAAGAAAGACAUAGGCGAUAUAGGAAUGAUCAAGGAGGGGGUUGCUUGCCUUGUUGCUCCGCAGACAAAACGGUUCCUCGACCGGGAAGUAGUCGAUCACCGGAUCAUCAUCGGUCUCGGGGGUCUACCGAAAAGGAAGUAAUGGAGGGGAAACACAAUAAAUAACACAUCAAUUAAAUGCAACACAAAUGCAAUGGCACGGCGGGAUGUGUGGGUGACAUGCUCUAAUGCAUCCUUACGCAUUUUAAAAGAAGAGGGAAAAUAUCCGGCAAUAUUUUCCCGACUCCAGGUAUUUUUCGGACAAACGACCCUGAUGCAAAAUGUUCAUGUGCAUCAUGAUAGGGGCAUGUGACAGCUAUGUGGAUCGCACAUUUGGAUUUGUUAGAUUUUUCUGAACAUUUUUAACAUAUAAAUUGUUUCCAUUUGAGUUUGUAUGAAUAUGUUAUGAUUUUCUGAAGUUUAUUCGAUUUUUAAAAAUUGUUUAAAACGAGUUUGACCAAGUCAACUAGACUAGUCAAAUGGGGUGGGUGUGGCCCACAUGUCAUAGGACAGCAACUAAACUAUGUUAGUUAAAUAAAUUAAUUAAUUUAGAGACCACUUGACAUAGGCUAGUAGUUAAACUAACUAGUAACUAGUACUCCCUCCGUUCCUAAAUAUAAGUCUUUUUAGAGGUCUCACUAUAGGACUACAUACGGAUGUAUUUAGAUAUACUUUAGAGUAUAGUUUCACUCAUUUUGCUUUGUAUGUAGUCUCUUAGUGAAAUCUCUUAAAAGACUUAUAUUUAGGAACGGAGGGAGUACGUACUAACUAACCCACUAAUCUAUAGGGCCGGCCACACACUCUCUCACACACACACAACACACACUCACGCACACACAAAAGACACUCACGCUCAUACACACAAGACCAUAGCCAUGGCCUUAGUAGCAGUUGAAGCAGCAAGUACUAACAGCGCCAAGCAAGCAGGAGCAACACCUAGUGACAGCAACUAGGAGCGGCAGCAGUGAGCGGUUCCUACAGGGAGCAGCAGUGGCAGGCAGCAAUGCAGUAACCGCAGCAGCAGCAAGCAGCAACAGCGACAGAAGUAGCAGUAAGCAGAGCAGUAGCUAGCGGAAGCAAGCAAGCAGCAAAACAACAGUGAGCAGCAGCACUAGCUAGCAAGAGCAGGGGCGUGGCCGACGAACGCGAGAGCGCCCGGGCGCAGCUGAACACACGCGCGGGCGCGACGAGCGUCAGGUAUGUUGGAAACAAGGCACGCACCCACACCCACGUCCUACCGCGCAUGCAUGCAGGGCGACUCCUUCCAGCCCACAACCUGCUCGCCCACGUAGCCAGCUCGCUCCCGCGUCUCGCUCGGAUCGCUAGCAUGCAGGAGGCUUAUCCUCCCGUUAGUUACAACAACCACUGGCUCUUGCCGUGUAUAUAAACGCAUGUACUGAACUCAAGUGAAUAUAGUGUGAGUUCAUCAAUCUAUCUNNNNNNNNNNNNNNNNNNNNNNNNNNNNNNNNNNNNNNNNNNNNNNNNNNNNNNNNNNNNNNNNNNNNNNNNNNNNNNNNNNNNNNNNNNNNNNNNNNNNNNNNNNNNNNNNNNNAGUUCAUCAAUCUAUCUUGGUAUCAGUUUUGUUCGAUCCUCUCCUCCUUCCGCCAUGAGCAUAUGCCGCCCUCUCCGCCGGACUCGCUCCUUCGGGGACGCCGACGUCGUCUACCUUCUGCCGGAAGUCGCCCCCACCCCANNNNNNNNNNNNNNNNNNNNNNNNNNNNNNNNNNNNNNNNNNNNNNNNNNNNNNNNNNNNNNNNNNNNNNNNNNNNNNNNNNNNNNNNNNNNNNNNNNNNNNNNNNNNNNNNNNNNNNNNNNNNNNCCCACCCCGCCCCUCCGGCGCCCGUCGCCGCGGCGCCCCUCUCCCCCAACGCCCGCGCCCUGCGGCACGCCGUUCCUCCUCCCCUCCGUGCCUUUCGGCCCCCGGCUGACCUUCAGCUGGCGCUCGCACCACCACCAGUACCUCCCGCCCAUGCUCCUCUCAUGCACCACGCCAACAUCGCAUCCUACAUCCUGUUCAAGCUGUCCAUCGACUCCGGCACGUACUCGAAGUGGCGCCAGCUCUUCUGGUACGUCCUCUGCAAGUACCGGGUCGAGGACCAUGUCCUGGAGGAGGUCGACCCCCUUCAUGCCGACCCCACCUGGCGCAACGACGACAUCACGAUCAUCCUCUGGGUGUACGGGACGAUCUCCGACGAGCUCUACGACACCAUCCACUCGCCGGACAGCACCGCCUUCCGCCUCUCGGAGCAGCUCGAGAUCUUCUUCCGCGACAACGCUGCCGGCCGCGCCGUCCACAUCGGCGCCGACUUUCGCGCCACGGUGCAAGGCGACAUGCCCAUCACCCAGUACUGUCGGCGUCUCCAACAGCUCGCCUCCGCCAUGGCUGACAUCGGCGAACCCGUCUCGGACCGCUCUCUCACGCUGCAGCUCAUUCGCAGUGUGAGUCGCCGCUUCCACGUCAUGGCCACCCUCCUCCCGAUGCAGCAACCGUUCCCCUCCUUCCUCCAAGCGCGCUCCCGCCUCCUCCUCGAGGAGAUCUCCAUCACCGAGCGCGAACGAGCCACUGGCGCUACGGCCCUUGCCCUCAGCCAUGGUGGUUCCUCCUUCGGCGGCGGCGGCCCUUCCGGUGAUCGCGCCCCGCCCUCUUCGCCCGCGGACAAGGGCAAGUCACCGGCUACCGGCGGUCCCUCGUCGGAUCGUCAACGCGGCGGGCGUGGCUGUGGCCGUGGUCGUGGCCGCGGCCACCCAGGCUCCUCCUCCAACGGCGGGCAUGCUCCGCAGGGCCAGACGCCCUGGAUGGGGUACUUCACCCCCUUCGGUGCUCCUCCUCCCACCCCACAGCAGUGGCGCGCCACUUGGACACCGCCCAACGCCGACGGUGUACUCGGCCCCUGUCCCGGCGCGCCGCACCAGGCCUACCCCGCCAUCGGUCCUUCCUCUUCCGCCCCAUAGUGGGACCCGGCUGCCCUCGCCCAGAUGCAGCAGCAGUUCGCCCACAUGAUGCCGCCGGCUCCCCCAUCCGGCUCCGAGUGGUUCAUGGACACCGGCGCCACCUCCCACGUCGCCGGCACCUCAGGUAACCUCGACCGUGUCUCCAACGCACCAGUCUUUCCCUCUAGCAUCACGGUUGGCGAUGGUUUUGUGAUCCCUGUCGUUGCCAGCGGUUCUGCCACCCUCCACCCCUUCCAUCUUAAUGCUAUUCUCAUCUCCCCCCACAUUAUCCAAAACCUAAUUUCCGUUCGUCGUUUUACUCGUGAUAAUUGGUGUAUCGUGGCUUUUGACCCUUUCGGCUUCUCUGUGAAGAACUUGGCAAUGGGGAAGCUUCUCAUGAGGUCCAGUAGCACCGGCAAUCUUUAUCCGUUCCUUCCCAAAUAAAGGCGGCUCGCGGGCGCUCUCCGUUUCAAGCACCGGCGACUUGUGGCACCUCCGCCUUGGCCACCUUAGUCGUGUUUCCCUUUCUAUUUUAGCUAAGAAUUUUUCUCGAUUCAUGUAAUAACGGCCACAGCUCCACUGUCUGUGCAUCUUGUAAAAUUGGCAAGCAACCACGAUUACCAUUCCCCACCUCUUCCUCUCGCACCUCUGCUCCCUUUCAGCUCAUCCAUUGCGACUUGUGGACCUCCCCCGUAUGUAGCUUCUCGGGUUCCAAUACUACCUCAUUGUGCUCGACGAUUACACACACUACUUCUGGGCUUUCCCCCUACGCCACAAGAGUGACACCGCCGCUACUCUCCAACGCUUCUUCUCUUACGCUCUCACCCAAUACAACCUCCCCAUUAAAUGUGUGCAAUGCGACAAUGGCGGCGAGUUCCUCACUCACACUCUCCGUGAUCACCUCUCCCGUCUCGGUGCAUCCUUCCGCCUCUCCUGUCCUCACACCUCCCCCCCAAAACGGCAAGGCUGAACGCCUUCUCCGCACCACCAACGACGUCCUUCGCACCCUACUCAUCCACGCCCACAUGCCACCCGAGUACUGGGUCGAAGCCCUCCAUACUGCCAACCACUUAAUCAACCGCCGUCCCUCCUCUGCCGUCGACCAGAACACACCCUACUUCCUCCUUCACGGCCGCCACCCCACCUAUGACCACUUACGUGUGUUUGGCUGCCUCUGCUACCCCAACCUCACCCAUCUCGCCCCGCACAAACUCGCGCCGCGCUCCACUCCGUGCGUCCUCUUGGGCUACCCCCUCGAGCACAAGGGCUACCGCUGCCUAGAUCUACGUUCUCGCCAUGUUUACAUCUCUCGCCAUGUCGUUUUCGACGAGCAGCAGUUUCCCUUUGCCGCCCUCGCCACACCGAUGCCCGCAGCACCCUUAGCCACACCUGAUCCCCCGCCAACUCUGGCGCAUCCGUACGUCGCACCUACCUCGUACACCCACACACCUCGCGCUUUCGCCCGCACUCCCACAAUUACCGCCUCGCUUCCCGCGCCUCGGCAACUCCCUGCGGUCUCCGCUGCACCAGGCCCACCACCUGCCCAAACUCCCACGCCAUCUUCCUCGUCGCCCGCGCCUCGGCCACCCACCACCGACCGCGCUGCCCCACAGCGGCCCCCACCCACUCCUCCCGACCCGGUGACCCCUCCCCNNNNNNNNNNNNNNNNNNNNNNNNNNNNNNNNNNNNNNNNNNNNNNNNNNNNNNNNNNNNNNNNNNNNNNNNNNNNNNNNNNNNNNNNNNNNNNNNNNNNNNNNNNNCGGUGACCCCUCCCCCGCCGCCACCUGUCCCAAACGCUUCAUCUACCACCUCUCUCCCGCUGUCUACCCCCAUCUCCGCCGCUAACGCCAACCCACCGCCACCAGCACCUGCUGCGGCCCCCUCUCGCGCCGUCUCGCCAGCUCACCGCCCGCUGCCCGCCCGCGCCAUUCCCGUCCAACACCCCACCAACACGCACACCAUGCGCACCCGUGCCAAAUCGGGGUUCUCCCUGCCCAAGCAAUACGCCCAUCUCACUGCGUCUUCCACCAUCGGCCCUAUACCUUCCUCCUAUCGCGCCGCGCUCAAGGAUCCAAACUGGGCCGCUGCCAUGCUUGAGGAAUAUACUGCUCUGUUGCCGAAUGACACUUGGUCGCUGGUUGCUCGUCCUGCAGGUGCUAAUGUGGUGACCGGCAAGUGGAUAUUUCGCCACAAAUUCAACCCUGACAGCACACUGGCUCGCUACAAGGCGCGUUGGGUGUUGCGCGGCUUUACCCAACAGGCCGGCGUCGACUACGACGAGACGUUCAGCCCCGUCGUCAAGCCCGCCACGAUCCGCGUUGUCCUCGCCCUCGCCACCGGCAGCUCCUGGCCGGUCCACCAGCUCGACGUCAAGAACGCCUUCCUCCAUGGGCACCUUGCGGAGACUGUCUACAACUCACAACACACCGGCUUCGUCGACACCACACGGUCGCGGGACGUGUGUCGUCUUCACCGAUCCCUCUACGGCCUCAAGCAGGCGCCGAGGGCGUGGUUUGCGCGCUUCACCACCUACCUCUUCACCCUCGGCUUCCGCGCGUCCAAGGCAGAUUCCUCCCUAUUCUACCUCCACCGCGGCUCCGACGCGGCGUACCUCCUCCUCUACGUCGACGACAUAAUCCUCACCGCCAGCUCGUCGUCGUUCCUCCAAGCCAUCAUCGUGUCCCUCGCCCGUGAGUUCUCCAUGACUGACAUGGGCUCGCUCCACCACUUCCUCGGCAUCAAUGUCCACCACACCACCACCGGCCUCCACCUCUCUCAGGAACAAUACGCUCUUGAGAUCCUCGACCGCGCGGGCAUGCUCAAUUGCAAACCCGUCUCCACGCCGAUCGACACCACCUCCAAGCUGUCAGCCACUGACGGCCCCGCUUUCCACGAUCCUUCUCUCUACCGGAGUCUCGCCGGCGCCCUUCAGUAUCUCACGCUAACACGGCCGGAUCUCUCUUAUGUCAUGCAGCAGUGCUGCCUCUUCAUGCAUGACCCCCGGGACACUCACUACCAGCUGGUCAAGCGGAUCCUUCGGUACGUCCGCGAAACGACGCAUCUCGGACUGCACUUCUUCCGCUCCCCCAGCACCGACCUCAUUGCCUACUCCGACGCCGACUGGGCGGGAUGCCCCGACACCCGCAAGUCCACGUCGGGCUUCGCUGUGUACCUCGGCUCCAACCUCGUCAGCUGGUCGUCGAAGCGCCAGACCACGGUUUCUCGCUCGAGUGCGGAGGCCGAGUACAGGGGCAUCGCCAACGCCGUCGCUGAGGCCACCUGACUGCGUCAGCUCCUCGCCGAGCUUCGCCGCCCACCUGCCCGCGCCACCAUCGUCUACUGCGACAACGCCUCCGCCAUGUACAUGUCCAGCAAUCCGGUACAGCACCAGCGGACGAAGCACAUCGAGAUCGACCUCCACUUCGUCCGCGAGCGCGUCUCUCUCGGUGAAGUGCGCGUCUUGCACGUCCCGACCACCUCGCAGUUCGCCGACAUCUUCACCAAAGGGCUACCCACGAGCGUGUUCGUCGACUUUCGUUCCAGCCUCAACAUCGGCGAGCACCUUGCUUCGGGGGGGGGGGGGGGGUUUGGAAACAAGGCACACACCCACACCCACGUCCUACCGCGCAUGCAUGCAGGGCGACUCCUUCCAGCCCACGACCCGCUCGCCCACGUAGCCAGCUCGCUCCCGCGUCUCGCUCGGAUCGCUAGCAUGCAGGAGGCUUAUCGUCGCGGUAGUUACAACAACCACGGGCUCUUGCCGUGUAUAUAAACGCAUGUACUGAACUCAAGUGAAUAUAGUGUGAGUUCAUCAAUCUAUCUAGGUAGUGGCGGCCAUGGCAACAAGGAGCAGCAGCCACACACAUACGUACGCGUACAUCCGGGGACAACUGCAAAUGGCGACGAAUCGAGCCGAUAAACGAGGGGAAUCGGGUGAGAAACUCACCACGGAGCUAGUGGACAUAGUUAGGGAGUGCGGGGCGGCCGGAAAGCGACGGGCUCAUCGGCGAGAUGUGGCGGCCGGACGAAGAAGAAGACGACGGCGUCGGUUACACAGCUCCCUGGCUUGAGCUAGUGCCCGGGACGGACGAAGCCAUCCGCGACGGAACUCGUGGACGUGCUCUAGCAUGCCGGAGUGGCCAUUGGACGCGUCAACGAGGACGAGGCAGCGGUGACCACGAAUUUUCCGAGCUUGAAUUCGGGCUAGAGAGGAAGGGGAACGAAGGGGAUCGAGGGGGGAA